rnacentral:rRNA from 1 species
UACGUAGGGUGCGAGCGUUGCCCGGAAUUAUUGGGCGUAAAGGGCGCGUAGGCGGCCAUGCGUGUCUUUCGUGAAAUCCCUCGGCUUAACUGAGGACGUGCGGAAGAAACUGCAAGGCUUGAGUCCGGGAGAGGGGGGUGGAAUUCCCAGUGUAGCGGUGAAAUGCGUAGAUAUUGGGAGGAACACCGGUGGCGAAGGCGGCCCCCUGGACCGGUACUGACGCUGAGGCGCGAAAGCGUGGGUAGCAAACGGG